rnacentral:lncRNA from 1 species
ACUUUGCUGUGCCAGGAAAACUGGUAUGAACCAUAGUUAACAUAUAUCUGAAUUAAACUCGACUCAAGUCUGACCCUUACUUAACUUUUACUUUUUGCAAUCCAUAUUUAACAUCUAUAGACUAUAUUAACUUCCUUAUAACAACUUUCCUUCUGUAUACUUUGCUUGUUGACUGAACGCCCCUAAUAUCCUGAUUACUUUUAGCCAAUCGCGGGACAAAUACUGCAGAAUCAUCCUGAAUCUGUAGAUCUGGCUGCAGAUGUUAAGCAUUUAUCAAAAAUAAAAAAUUAUAUGUAGCGGAUUGAACUAAAUAUUUCUACCUGCAGGGCUAAAUAACAAAUUCCCAUCCUAGUGACUGUGUUAUUCAAUGCACAAG